AAAGACAGGUUUUACUUA
rnacentral:snRNA from 1 species